rnacentral:snRNA from 1 species
GUGCUUGCUUCAGUAGUACAUAUACUAAAAUUGGAAGGAUGCAGAGAGGAUUAGCAUGGUUCCUGCACAAGAAUGACAUGCAAAGUCAUGAAGCAUUCCAUACUUUU